GUGCAGAAGAAUGCAGUCAUUUGAGCUGCGCUUUCCUCCCAGCCGUGCUGAAGCUGGGAUUGACGUUGCAAUCUCCUGCAGGUGGGAGACCUCGUGUGCGUCAUCGAUAUGCCGCCUCAGGAGCUGAGCCCCCGCUGGAGAGGCAAGCACGGCUUUCAGGUUGGAUUUUUCCCUGGGGAGUGUGUGGAGCUCAUUAACGGAAAAAUCCCGGAGUCUCUCAUCAAUUCAGUGCCAAAGCCAGAUCUUGAUGCUCUCCUCUUCCUGCCAGUGGGCUGCGUGUCAUGCCAUAGUCCUGCAGUCUCCAGAAGUGACCCCACAUGCUACCAAAACAGAUCACAGACCUGGAUUCAGGCAUUCUUCAUUCUCCCACUGCACGAGCUGUCAUGGAGCAACGUGCUCCUCAAACGUAGUCAUUUUGUGAGGUUACGCAGUGUUUGUAUACUUAUGUAGGAAUGGAAUGUUGUUUCUGCAUUAGAACUAAAACUAUUUGUCUUGUCUUGUUUUUCAUGUUGCCAAUCAACAUUUAGUUGGAGCUUGGGUGACCCGAAUGCAUACAACUAAGUGUUGACCAAGUGUGAUGUGAAAUGAAGAGGUAGGCUCCAAAACAGGCUUCUAGGUUGGAGACUCCACUAUCAGAUGGCAUUGGCCUUUCAAGCCUCCCCGGGUUGUAGCGCUGGUUGUGCCCUGAUCCUUGGAAAGGGGAACUGAUUCCUUCAUCAUUACCUGAUGGUGACGUCUACUUAUCUUGUGUCCAGUGAGCGGUGGUGGAAAAACUGCGGCUCUCCCGAGUGGUGCAAGGACUCUACUGAGGCUCAUUGUGUUUAUAGUAGAAAACUACAGCCAUAGAUGGAUGCCAAUAUCCACUCCUUACUCUGUCUGGCAAGCUGUGUUGAUCUCUGAAGUUGCUCCCACACUUGUAGAAGUUCUUUGGGCUCAGCAUCAGUUGUCUCUUGCACUCACAUGGCUUUCACCAGUUGGAGCUACAGUGAGCCCAAAUGGUGACUGCUCUGCUUUGACCAAGUGAGAUGCAAAAAGAAGAGGUAGGUUGCAAAACAGGCUUCUAGUGCGUGCCAUGUAAGACUUGGGGUAUCCAGAGUUAACUUCUUGUCUUUCUCCUU